UAGGGAAUCUUCGGCAAUGGACGAAAGUCUGACCGAGCAACGCCGCGUGUGUGAAGAAGGUUUUCGGAUCGUAAAACUCUGUUGUUAGAGAAGAACAAGGACGUUAGUAACUGAACGUCCCCUGACGGUAUCUAACCAGAAAGCCACGGCUAACUACGUGCCAGCAGCCGCGGUAAUACGUAGGUGGCAAGCGUUGUCCGGAUUUAUUGGGCGUAAAGCGAGCGCAGGCGGUUUCUUAAGUCGGAUGUGAAAGCCCCCGGCUCAACCGGGGAGGGUCAUUGGAAACUGGGAGACUUGAGGGCAGAAGAGGAGAGUGGAAUUCCAUGUGUAGCGGUGAAAUGCGUAGAUAUAUGGAGGAACACCAGUGGCGAAGGCGGCUCUCUGGUCUGUAACUGACGCUGAGGCUCGAAAGCGUGGGGAGCAAACAGG
rnacentral:rRNA from 1 species